rnacentral:misc_RNA from 1 species
GAAAUGCGAUAAGUAAUGUGAAUUGCAGAAUUCAGUGAAUCAUCGAAUCUUUGAACGCACAUUGCGCCCGCCAGUAUUCUGGCGGGCAUGCCUGUUCGAGCGUCAUUUCAACCAUCAAGCCCCCGGCUUGUGUUGGGGACCUGCGGCUGCCCGCAGGCCCUGAAAAACAGUGGCGGGCUCGCUGUCACACCGAGCGUAGUGGCAUACAUUCUCGCUCAGGGCGUGCUGCGGGUUCCGGCCGUUAAACGACCUUCAUAACCCAAGGUUGACCUCGGAUCAGGUAGGAAGACCCGCUGAACUUAAGC